UAGUUCAUCUUGUGGUUGAUCCCAUGGAUAAAUACGGACCUUUGUUAUUUGAGGUAUUACAGACGUGCCUUCUGUUUCUGAUAACACUAAUGCAUUUGCAGACAGGAGGCAGAAGUGUCCGGCCUUUCAGGGUGGUGGGAGCCACAUCUGCUUGGCAACGCUGGAUUUUUAGGUGGUGGUGGUGCUGCUGAAAAUGGCAUUUCUUCUGCUGAAACGCUGGUCUGCUGUUUCCGUUACAUUUUUUUAUCCCCGAGGUGACAUUGGCAGUGGAUACUGACCUCUACAAUAACUUCAGGUCUCUUCUGAAUAUGUCCUUCCCCAACCACCUCUGUGGUUUCAUAACAUCAAUAGUGAACACGAAUAAAUGAACUCCAGAUGAGAGAUCUGCAUGCCAGCAGUGCAGCCUGUGUCUACGGUAUCUUUUUCAGAAGAAGGACAAGAAUGGAUGAUCCAAUGAUUAGGACCUAUAUCUGGCAGGCUAAGUUUGACGUUCAGCCGAAAGUCAAAGGACUCCUUUGCGCACUCCAAAACCUGUGAACCUUAAAAUUUCCAGGAAAGGAGCCACAUGUUGACCAGCUACUGCGCUCUAAUGCCACCUAGUUGGGGUCCGGUGCCGUGUUACCCAAAAUACAUACUUUUACAGACUGGGAUGACUCUGGGACAGCGGUCUCCACACCUGAUGAUGGGAAUACUGCUGACCGAGAAGGAGAUCCCAGCAUGCCUGUAUGUCUUGGCUCUGCAGGUUACGGGGAUGUUGAGAGACAGCUGAGCUAUCGUGGACGGUUCUGAUUCGUGGGGUUCCUUGAGGCAGGCAACUUCCCCGAUGUGCAUGAGCUCUAGGAUGAUAACUGGAAUGGAGACAAGUGUUACGAAUGGCUUUGGUGCUCGGCUCUAGUUCUUCCAGAAGAUGAAACAGGACGAGGCUUCAACGAAGUAUGGAGGACCCUCGCUUUCCAUGGAAUUGCUGUUUUGAUGACUUGUACCCCUUUGGAGCUGGGCCAGCUGGCAGGUAACCAUUGAGCUGUUUUAUUCUCUAGCAAUGCCAGCAAGCAUUUCAGAUGAAACCACCACCGAAGUAGUGGCUUCA
rnacentral:lncRNA from 1 species